rnacentral:rRNA from 1 species
GAUGAACGCUAGCUACAGGCUUAACACAUGCAAGUCGCGGGGCAGCAUGGGGGUUGCUUGCAAUCCCCGAUGGCGACCGGCGCACGGGUGAGUAACGCGUAUCCAACCUGCCCUUCACCACGGGAUAACCCGGCGAAAGUCGGACUAAUACCGUAUGCUGUCCAUUGACGGCAUCCGAUUUGGACGAAAGGCUUGGCGGUGAGGGAUGGGGAUGCGUCCGAUUAGCCAGACGGCGGGGUAACGGCCCACCGUGGCUACGAUCGGUAGGGGUUCUGAGAGGAAGGUCCCCCACACUGGAACUGAGACACGGUCCAGACUCCUACGGGAGGCAGCAGUGAGGAAUAUUGGUCAAUGGGCGUAAGCCUGAACCAGCCAAGUAGCGUGCAGGAUGACGGCCCUAUGGGUUGUAAACUGCUUUUAUGCGGGGAUAAAGUGGCCCACGUGUGGGCUUUUGCAGGUACCGCAUGAAUAAGGACCGGCUAAUUCCGUG